GCAGAUGGCCAAGUUGGUAAGGCGCAGCACUAGGUAAUACUGAGAUCAUUGGUUCGAAUCCGUUUCAAGGCA
rnacentral:tRNA from 1 species